rnacentral:rRNA from 1 species
GAUGAACGCUGGCGGCGUGCUUAACACAUGCGAGUCGAACGGUGAAAGAGAGCUUGCUCUCUGGAUCAGUGGCGAACGGGUGAGUAACACGUGAGCAAUCUGCCCUUGACCCUGGGAUAAGCGCUGGAAACGGCGUCUAAUACCGGAUACGAGCUGCGAAGGCAUCUUCAGCAGCUGGAAAGAACUUCGGUCAAGGAUGAGCUCGCGGCCUGUCAGCUAGUUGGUGAGGUAACGGCUCACCAAGGCGUCGACGGGUAGCCGGCCUGAGAGGGUGACCGGCCACACUGGGACAGAGGCACGGCCCAGACGCGGACGGGAGGCAGCAGUGGGGAAUGUUGCACAAUGGGCGCAAGACUGAUGCAGCAACGCCGCGUGAGGGACGACGGCCUUCGGGUUGUAAACCUCUUUUAGCAGGGAAGAAGCGAAAGUGACGGUACCUGCAGAAAAAGCACCGGCUAACUACGUGCCAGCAGCCGCAGUAAAAC